rnacentral:rRNA from 1 species
CCUACGGGAGGCUGCAGUGAGGAAUAUUGGGCAAUGGGCGGAAGCCUGAACCAGCGAAGUAGCGUGCGGGAUGAAGGCCCUACGGGUCGUAAACCGCUUUUGCACGGGGAUACCACCCUCCACUUGUUGAGCUCUGCAGGUACCGUGCGAAUAAGGGCAGGCUAAUUCCGUGCCAGCAGCCGCGGUAAUACGGAAGGCCCGAGCGUUAUCCGGAUUCAUUGGGCUUAGAGGGAGCGUAGGCGGGCGUUCAAGUCAGCUGUAAAAUCGCGCGGCUCAACCGCGCACCGCAGUUGAAACUGGACGCCUUGAGUUCACAACAGGCAGGCGGAAUUCGUGGUGUAGCGGUGAAAUGCAUAGAUAUCACGAGGAACCCCGAUUGCGAAGGCAGCCUGCCGGGGUGCGACUGACGCUGAGGCUCGAAGGUGCGGGUAGCAAACAGGAUUAGAUACCCUUGUAGUC